GAUGAACGCUGGCGGCGUGCCUAAUACAUGCAAGUCGAGCGAACGGACGAGAAGCUUGCUUCUCUGAUGUUAGCGGCGGACGGGUGAGUAACACGUGGAUAACCUACCUAUAAGACUGGGAUAACUUCGGGAAACCGUAGCUAAUACCGGAUAAUAUUUUGAACCGCAUGGUUCAAAAGUGAAAGACGGUCUUGCUGUCACUUAUAGAUGGAUCCGCGCUGCAUUAGCUAGUUGGUAAGGUAACGGCUUACCAAGGCAACGAUGCAUAGCCGACCUGAGAGGGUGAUCGCCCACACUGGAAUUGAGACACGGCCCAGAACCCUACGGGAGGCAGCAGUAGGGAAUCUCCCGAAAGGGGCGAAAGCCUGAGGGAGCAACGCCGCGGGAGUGAAGAAGGUCUUCGGAUCGUAAAACGCUGUUAUUAGGGAAAAACAUAUGUGUAAGAAACAGUGCCACCUUGGACGGUACCAAACAAAAAAGCAACGGCAAAUCCCGG
rnacentral:rRNA from 1 species